rnacentral:sRNA from 1 species
UCAAGGGUAUACGAGUAGCUGCACUCCCCUGCUAGAACCUCCAAACAAGCUCUCAAGAUAUAUUCCUAUUCUAUGCACAGAAAGUC